rnacentral:rRNA from 1 species
UACGUAGGUGGCAAGCGUUGUCCGGAAUUAUUGGGCGUAAAGCGCGCGCAGGCGGUCCUUUAAGUCUGCUGUGAAAGUCCAGGGCUCAACCCUGGGAUGCCGGUGGAUACUGUCGGACUAGAGUACGGAAGAGGCGAGUGGAAUUCCCGGUGUAGCGGUGAAAUGCGCAGAUAUCGGGAGGAACACCAAUUGCGAAGGCAGCUCGCUGGGACGUUACUGACGCUGAGACGCGAAAGCGUGGGGAGCAAACAGG